UACGUAGGUGGCAAGCGUUGUCCGGAAUUAUUGGGCGUAAAGCGCGCGCAGGCGGUCCUUUAAGUCUGAUGUGAAAGCCCACGGCUCAACCGUGGAGGGUCAUUGGAAACUGGGGGACUUGAGUACAGAAGAGAAGAGUGGAAUUCCACGUGUAGCGGUGAAAUGCGUAGAGAUGUGGAGGAACACCAGUGGCGAAGGCGGCGACCUGGACGGACACUGACGCUGAGACGCGAAAGCGUGGGGAGCAAACAGG
rnacentral:rRNA from 1 species